rnacentral:lncRNA from 1 species
UUUUUUUCUUCCCCUUAAGAAUUGUUGCUGAAUGUGAUUUCUUCUUCUAUGCUGCUUGGGGAUGAUGAAGUGAUUACAUGGUUAGAACAAUUCUUCCAUUAGCAACAACAUAAAUCAGCAACAAUCAUGAAUCAUCAUUUAAAUUCAUAAAAAUCAAUUAAAUCCGUUAAUCAACAACAAAAACAAUUGAUUCUUCAACAACAACAACAUUAAUCACCACAAACAAACCCAUAAUACACCACAAAUAAUUCACGCCUCUUUCUAUUUGUAUUGAUCCCAACUUACAGUGUGUGCAUAGUCAAACAAAAUAAACCAUGAAAAACAAUUAACAUUAAAAAUAAAAAAAAAGAAUUAUGAAAAGAUUUCUCCAGAGAAAAAAAUCACCUUUUAUAAAUUACACAACUUUACAUACCACAUGAAAUGAAAGAAGAAUCGAGGAAGAGAUUUUCACGUUUUACGGUUUUCAUAUCAAAGUUUGACAUCUGUGAGUUUAUCGUUUAAGUUUGGGUUGGUGGGUGUUAUCUUAACUGAUUCAAUUCCUAAUGCAAAGAGUGAAAGUAUCUAUGUUAAAAUUGGAAGUUUUUAAGCUUUUGUAAAUGUUGAAGAUGAAGAUGAAAGAGGCAUAAUGUUUGAUUGUAAGAAAAACCCAUAAACUCAAAUGUUGCAGAAGAUGUGGUAAAGAGUUUAUUCUAUGAGUUUAUAUGAGUUAAUGGGUUAAAGGUUGUGGUGUUAGAUAUUAUUUUCUGGGCUGUGGUGGUGGUAUGAAGUUCAUAGGAUGGAAAAGAAAUAAAAGAUGGAAGAUGAAAGUGCAUAAUAUUAGGUGUUAGUGAUACACCAUCUGAUGGACCUCCUUUAUCCAACGGUCAUCUUUUUGAGAGGUUUAAAAUUAAUAAAAUAGGAUUAAAUUGAUGAUGAAAACAAAGAUAAAUGACCAAAUUGAAACGUUUAAUAGUUAGAGGACCAAUUUGAAAAAAAGAAUUCAAUUAAGGGACCAAACGAUGUAUUAAGCCUUUUUAUAAAUCAUGAACAUUCAAGGCUCCAAUAAUGUCCCAAGAUUCCUUUCUUUAUCAUUGAUCAUUUCUCUCUCGUUAUUAUAGUUGAUCCUUUCCUUCUCAUUUGUGGUUUUUGUUUUGACCACCGAUUCUUCUCGGUAAUCCUGAAAUCGUUUUUCUCCUUCUUUAGUCCUUGUUGUUUUGAACAGUGAUUUUCACAACUCACAAGUGUUUUCCUCCUUUCUCUAUUUAAUAUUGUAUCCCUCAGUUUGAUCUUUUUUUAAUGGAUCAGACAUUUUUGUGUAACUAUGAAGACUAAUCAUACGAGUUGAAUAAUCAUUACAAUGUAAUGAGUUACAAAAUUUUCCUUCAAAAAAUUUAAUAUUAUUUCAUUUUUUCUGGUUGGACUUGAACCCAAAAUUUCUAAUUAAGCUGGAAGAAAUCAUUAAUCAUCAUAGUGCUCUUGUGUAUUUAAUCUUUCAUUUAAGAAAAUGCAUUUGAAAAUCAUGGUUUUGAGAAAUUGCUUUGGUUUAAAAAAUAUUUUGGCAUGAGUAAAUUAUUGAUGGACAAUUUUUUUUAUUUAUUUUGUAAAGGAAAAUGUUAGUAUGGUAAUUGUUAGAGUUGUGUUAUUUGCCCAACUUUUUUUAUAACAACUCUUAGUACAACUAUAAAUUUUUAAAGAAAAAGAGACAUUGACACAAAAAUCAAAACAAUAAAUAGAGAGAGAGAGAGAGAGAGAAAAAAAGUAAAAACAUAACGAGUAAAAGAGAGAAGAUUGUCAUAAAAAUUAUCAAAAAAUAGUUAUGCAAAUAUCAUUUUUCUUAAUUGCUAUGUUGUUUUUUUUCCUCCUUGUUAGGACUUCAACUUCUUUACUCUUAGCUUUAAAUUUGUUGAGUUAUCAAAUCCGCUCGGUGAAAAAAUAUUUACAACAAAUCUAAAUUAACUUAGUUUUGACAUUAACUCAAAACAUCCAAGUCUAUAAACUUAAACAUGCACUCAAAGUAAAAUUUUGAAAUUAGCUUUUAAAUUCCAAUUACGUUAAUCUUGUCAUGUAUAUUUGUUUGAUUGAUCUAGAAAGAGUAAUAUUAUAGGAGAUUUUCCAUUUUAAUUUAAUAUUUUUAAAUAUUAAUAAUUAGGGAUAUUUAAUAAGAAAAGGCGUCCUCUAAACUAAACUAGUUUUAUGCGUCCCCGUGAACUUAUCUCAGUUGAUAAGGACAAUGUAUAAUAUAUGUAAGGUUCGGUGUUCAAACAUCGGACACCACAAAAAAAAACUAGUUUCACACAAACUUUUAAUGAAAAUCCAAUAUUUUGUUGUUAUUUUUAAACUGCAAUUAUAAAAGAAAUGAUGUGUUAAUAUCAUGAAUUUUUUUAGAUUAAAAACCAUACCUUGUCAAUUUAAAAGUUGUUUACACCGACAAUUAAUCACAAAUCACCUGAAAACAUAUAAUUACAUAAUUAUUUUUAUUUAAAAAUUAUAUAGACGAUGCAACAAAUUGAAUUAUUUUAUUUUUAUUAUUUUAAGGAGCAAAUUGAAUGAUUUAGAUUGAAUGUUAAUGUAAAAUUGUUUUACGCACUCAUUGUAUAUAUCUUUUAAUCUUAAUUUUACGAGUUUAAUGGAAGUGCACCAAUAAAAAUAAAUCAUAUUGUCAUUGUCAAGUAAAUGUAUUUGUAACCUCUUUUUAAAAAUGAUCGUCAAAUUCUCAAUUUUUUUUUUUUUUGGUCAAACAAAUUCUCAAUUUUUAUUAGGCCUCAAUGUAAAAUUAGUUAAUACGUGCAUGUUGUCACAUUUUCUCAUUUUUUAUUAGACGUUGUGCUAAAAGUAUUUACACCAAUAGUUUAUCUCAAUUAAACCCACGUUACAUUGUCACUAUCCUAUAAUUUUAGAGACUAAUAUAAAUUGUAUUAGUUUAACUAAUUGAUUUGACUCGAUAAGGAUUAACAUAUGUCAUAUUCAGUGGUACUGAUAUUCUUCAUUGUCAUCCGGUAACAACAAAUCAUAUUUAUAUUACGAUCAUUUUUUUUUAAUAAUCAUCAUAUUCUCGAUUCUUAUUCCACGUCAAGGUAAAAUUAGUUCAUUCUAACAACACAUGUGAUCAGGGUUAGAAAUGAAUCGAGUUGAAUUUGUCAGAGCUUGAUUCAACUCGAUUAGACUUAAUUCGACUCUAGUUCGAUAGAAACCUUAUUUAAAGCUCGAAUCCAAUGCAUUUAAAGUUCACGAACAACUUGAUUCUACUUAUUAAAUUCAACUCGUUUACUUGCAGUGCAAGUGAACUUUGAAUAAUUGUACUAAUACUUAUAGUUUUAUGUAUUUUGAACUUAUUUUUUCAACUAUUACUUUGAAUAAUUGUACUAAUACUUAUUUUUUCUUUUCCACCUCAAGCACAUAAUAAUCUAGAAGGAAAAACAAAUAUUCAACUUUUUUCAACUAUUCUAUAUUAUAUUUUAUAAAUCUUUAAGGUCAAACUCAACUGACAAUAUCAACAUUAAUAAAAUUGAACAUCUUCAUCUAAGUUUAUAUAUGUAACCUCUCAAUUGUGUUUAGAUGUGUAGCUAAGUUUUACAUGGUAGUUAUCACUAUGUUUAAUUCUAUAGACAAAAAAAAUAAAAGAUUAAAGUAGAAUAUUAAUUAACUAAUUAACUUUUAACUAAUUGAUCUAGAUUUGAUAAUGAUUGACAGAUGUCAAUUAAGUGUUACUUAUGGCAAAGCAAAGAGUGAAAUAAAAGCAUAUGAUUUGUUAAUUGAUUGAUUGAUUUCUCAUUUCUCAUUCUCAUUUCCUUCUCCUUCGCGGGUCCUAUCACCAAAUCGUUUUUUUCUCUCCACCCCAAUUUUCUCACUUUCCUACAAUUCUCUUCUCUCUUUCCUUUUUACACAAAAAACAACAAAAAAAAUGAGUUUUUUCUUUCAAUCUUAACCCAUAAGGUACGUUAAUUGCUUCAAUUUGAUUUGUUAUAUGAAUCUUCCAUUCAAUUUGUUGUUAUUCAAUCAUCGUUGAUACCAAUGCGUUGGUUAUUUUUGUUGGGUCAGUGUGAUUUUCCAACUGUUUGAUAAAAUUCCUCAAUCAAAGUUUCAACUUUCAACAUGUCUAGUUUUGUGGGUGUUCUUGUUUCUGAUCAAUGGCUUCAGAGCCAGUUCACUCAAGUCGAAUUACGAACUCUCAAAUCAAAAGUAAGGUUUUUUUUUUUUUUUUUUUUGUGAUUUUAAUUUCAAUUUGACCAUUUUGAUUUCUUGAUCAUUGAUGAGGAUUUCAAUGAAUUUGAAUAAUGAUGGAAUGAGUUUGUUUUGUGUUGUUUGUAGUAUGUAUCUGAAAGAACUCAAUCGGGCCGUGUUAUUGUGGGAAAUUUGCCUCCCAUUUUCAAGAAAUUGAAGGCUUUUGCGGAGUUUUUUACCGAGGAUGAGAUUAAGGCUGUAUUGGAAGAGUCAUAUCAGAAUAUGGAUGAUGAAAUCGACUUUGAGUCCUUCCUUAGGGUGAGCCCUUUUUUCGUUCUUUGUUGCCCUUUUUUCAUUUACGCGUUUUUUAUAUAAUGUUUCUUGAUUUCGUAGAAGAAAUAGUACAAUAAUGGAGAAAUUGCACUCAUCUCCUUGAUGUAUGCUUAAAUUACACAUAUAGACAGGUGAGGGGUGUGACAAUUUUUCCAACAAGUAAGAGUGGUUAGUGUUUAUUUGAAAAAUAGAAGGGGUGUGGGUGUUAUUUUGGUAUUCCUCGUAGUAGAUAAGUGCAAUUUCCAUGCGAACAUACAAGAAUGUCAUUGAUGUUCAAUUUGCUUCUAGAGUCUUGACAUAUAUAUAUAUAUAUAUAUAUAUAUAUAUAUAUAUAUAUAUAUAUAUAUAUAUAUAUAUAUAUAUAUAUAUAUAUAUAUAUAUAUAUAUAUGCACCUAAUUUGAAAGUAUACUUUUGUUUUUUGAUUCAAAUGUCUGUGUGGGAAUGCGUAUUCAGUUCAUUUGUAAGUAACUUUAUAGGUAUUAUCUAUACUGAACCUGGUAGCUUAUUUAUUGACAUUGAGUGGUAGGCACAUUUAAACUUGCAAACUCGAGCUGCAGCAAAAGGUGGCGGUUCAAAAAGUUCUUCUUCAUUUUUGAAGGCAGCUACGACUACCGUUCAUCAUGCAAUUAAUGAAUCUGAGAAGGCUUCUUAUGUCGCACACAUUAACAGUUACUUGGCUGAAGAUAAAUUCAUGAAGCAGUUUCUUCCAAUUGAUCCGUCUACAAAUGCAUUGUUUGAUCUUGCUAAAGAUGGAGUCCUGCUUUGGUAAAUGAUCAGCGCCAAACAUAAGAUCAAUUCUAUUUUUUAUAAAAAAAGACUAAAUUUUUAUCUGUCUAAUUUUAUUGUUUAUUUAACUGCUGCAGCAAGCUUAUUAAUGUUGCUGUUCCUGGGACAAUAGAUGAGCGAGCCAUUAACACAAAACGGGAUCUUAAUCCAUGGGAGAGGAAUGAAAACCACACCCUUGGCCUCAAUUCAGCAAAGGCUAUUGGGUGCACAGUGGUUAAUAUUGGUACACAGGAUAUGGUUGAAGGAAGAGUAUGUUCAAUUCAAUCUUCUUUUUUGCGAUUUUGAUCCCCUGAAUUUUGACAGAAUUAAACUCUUGACAAGUUUCUUGUUUGUUUAUUUGUAGCCUUAUUUGGUACUUGGUCUGAUUUCACAAAUAAUCAAGGUACAACUGAAACCUACUCCAUUUUCACUUUCAUAAGAUGAGGGAUUGACAGUUAAUACCAUUCUGAUUUCUAUUAUUCAUUGAAAAGACUUCUUAACUUAUGGUUUCUUGUGUUUGUCUGUCUUUUCAUUCUUUGGCAACAUUAGAUUCAAUUGUUAGCUGAUCUCAAUCUGAAGAAAACUCCUCAACUUUUGGAAUUAGUGGAAGAUGAUAAGGUGAUAUUGGAUAAUAUUGUUCCUUAUAUAUGUAAUUUUCAAGUUCCCUGAUAUUCUUUCCUUUUCAUUUGUCAAAACAACAUUAAAUUAAACCUCUUCAUUACCUUAUGACAAAAUGGCAGGAUGUGGAGGAGCUUAUCAGUUUACCACCUGACAAGGUUUUAUUGAAAUGGAUGAAUUUCCACUUGAAGAAAGCUGGUUAUGAGAAACAAGUUACAAAUUUCUCAUCUGAUGUAAAGGUGAGGGAAAUGCUAUUUCUUAUUGUAUGUUUACUUACUCUAAUCAAAAUUGUUAGAAAUGAUAAAAAUAAGUAGUUACAGUAUCAUGUAAAUAUAUAAUACAGGGUAGCAUUAAAUACUUCGUAUUAUCAUGAUGUGUGUGCAUAUAUAAUAUAACAUAGCUCCGGUGUGUGUAGAAUACACAAAUUCUGUCACUUGCUUUCUUAACAUGGUGUCAGAGCUACUUAUUUUCAUCAUUUCUAAGACUUAUAGUACUUCAGGAUUUGGCUCCUCUAGUGCGAUGAACUGUAGAAUGAAAUUGAGGAGGUAUAACAAUUAAUGAAUUAGUAUCGUAGUACUCCUUAUGAGCCACUGUUGUUCUGAUUUAUUAAAUCAGUGAAGAAACUGUGGCCCUUCUUAUGUUCUUCUGUCCUUGACAGUGUUCAGUAGUUUUUUAUGAAAAAAUUCACUGUAUUGUUGUCCUGUAACAUGCUGAUUACUGAAUCAUUGUGUGACACAUUUUCCUCACAUAGCAGACGUUCGAUAGAUGUUAACCGAUACAACAUGGUUCUAAAUUGCGCGGGUCUAUUUUAUCAUUGAAUACUUUCUUUUUUCAGGAUGGAGAGGCUUAUGCGUACUUGCUUAAUGCUCUUGCUCCAGAAACUGCAGGCCCAUCUGCCUUGACCAUAAGUGAUCCGACAGAAAGAGCAAAUAUGGUUCUUGAGCAGGCAGAGAGAUUAGAUUGCAAGAGAUACCUCACUCCAAAGGACAUAGUUGAAGGGUCACCUAACCUUAAUCUUGCAUUUGUUGCUCAAAUUUUCCAGCAUAGGUAUGGUUACUUUUAGGAGGUUGCAAUUGUGCUAAUCACUUUGUUGCAAAUUUAUAAAUUAAGAAUAUUUUGGGGCAUGCUUCCAAGAACCUGCUACUUUUCCGUUGCCUUCUUUUAUUGGGAAAAGGUUAGCACCUCAAAAAAUAAUUAAUGGCCUUUUGAGUAUCUUUUUUUCUAAUGAAGGGCUUCUUAGUAUCAGGUUCAUUAUAUCUUAUGAGUAUAGAACGGUUCAGAUUUCUUUCUUUUGAUUGUUUCCACUAGACUAGAACUUUCCCUUUUGGAAAAAAAGAGGAUGAGGUAGUUGAUGUGGCAUACAUAUCACAUAAUGGGUCACCCUUGUUGAUUCAUUUCAUUUACUGGGAACAAGUAUCUGGGAGUAGUGCAGUUAUAGAGUUAGGAAAUGUAUAGAGGAUGGAUCUUUAGCUGAUGGAGAUUGUGGCUUUCAUGUGUGUAGGAAUGGGCUUACAGUUGACACGAAUAAAAUGUCCUUCGCUGAGAUGAUGACUGAUGAUGCACAGACAUCUCGGGAAGAAAGAUGCUUCAGACUCUGGAUUAACAGUCUCGGAAUUGCUACUUAUGUCAAUAAUGUUUUCGAGGAUGUCAGAAAUGGGUAGCUUUUCCUUUCAUGUUCACAUUUGUCCUGUACUUCUGCCUUUUAAUUUUUUCAUUGAACUAACUGCUGGUUAUGGAUUUCCUUAUUUUCUUUUUCACAGAUGGGUUCUAUUAGAAGUUCUUGAUAAGGUUUCACCUGGAUCUGUCAACUGGAAGCAGGCGACAAAGCCUCCUAUAAAGAUGCCAUUUCGGAAAGUGGAGAAUUGCAACCAAGUUAUAAAAAUUGGGAAGGACCUAAACUUUUCCUUAGUAAACGUUGCUGGUAACGAUAUUGUUCAAGGGAAUAAGAAGCUCUUACUAGGUAAGUUUCUAUGAUUUUCAGAUUUAUGAUAAAUCGAUAUUGUUGGUGAAGUCGAUAUGUUUGUGUCAUUGUUGGCUGGCCGGUGCUUUGUUUUAUACUGCUACUAUUUCUUUCUAAAUCAAUAUUAUAACUGAAGAUAACCAAUAGGCCAGAUAUGUUCUUGUUAUUUCAUACGAGGAACAUUCAUAAUUGUUCUCAAACUAUUGCAGAACUAUAUAUUAGACCUUAUUUCCAUGGUGAGUGUUGAUGUAGAAAAUCUGAUUUUCUGCUAAAAAGAAUAUCGUAAAUUUUAAUUUUAUUUAUCUAGAUGAUAGAUUGACAAUUCAAUAUUAUAUUUCAAAUUGAAACACCGCAUGGAAACCAACUCGAAACUGCAAUUUUAUUAAGACAGUUUAAAUGAGAAGUUACAGAAAAGUAGGAGCUGUGUGUCUGUAUCAGGCGACUCUUGAUGGAUUUGAGAUGACAAUUUCCUUCCCCCUUUUUAGUUCAAAGUUAUAGUGGAAGUUAAAAAAACAGUCUUUCUAGGAAAUGUUAAAAUGAGAUAUCCUUCUUCUGUAACAUUAUAGAUGGGAUGUUAUGACGAAGUUCUGUUGAUCGGUCAUUAUCUUGUUCAGAGCUGUCUCAUUAAAUUUUGAAACUGAUGGGAACUAGAAAUAUUAUAACCGAAGAAUGGAUCAAGAGCCUAUUUGAGAGGUAAGAUUUACUCGCAGACUAGGUUUUGGCAACCUCCCUGCCUUAAGGCCUCACAAAAACUUACUAAUGACUAGCUACCCUAUUCUAUACCUUUCUCUCUCUUUAUCAUCGUUUUUAACUGUUUCCCCCUCCUUGCCUGCACAGGCAAGGUUGUUACAGCACAACUCCCGUUUCUUCCCCCUUCCCCUGUUUCCCAUGUGUUAUCUAGCAUAGGAGUGUCUAACAGGAACAUUCAUCUCUGUUUGUCCAACAGCUUUUUUGUGGCAGCUUAUGAGAUUUACCAUGCUUCAACUUCUGAGAAACUUGAGAUCACACUCCCAAGGUAAAGAGAUUACUGAUGCUGAUAUACUAAACUGGGCGAACAACAAAGUGAAGAAAGCCGGAAGAACAUCUGAAAUGGAGAGUUUCAAGGUAAUAAAGCAGAAAAUUACCAGUUCUGAGUAUACUGAUAUUGACAUGUAUGCAUAUUAUCUUAAGGUGGCUCCAAAACAGUUUAUAUUAUGAAUUCACUGUUGAGAAUAAUAUGUAUGCAUUUGCAUAUAUCAUAUUUGGUACUCUUAAUUUUACAUUUAUACAAAACAAUUAUCAGUCUUAGAUAUGUGUUCUCAUAUUAAAUGACAAGCAUUUGAUAUCUGCUGAUAGUAAAAAUUAAUAUUGUUAAAGCUUUAGAAUAAAGAAAAGAACUAUUCAAUGUUUCACAAAAGGGGCAGUGUGCACAGUGGUUGCUUUGAUGUUUGGACUCCAACACAUUUUAUUUUUUUUAUCAGGAUAAGAAUCUUUCCAACGGAAUUUUCUUCCUUGAGCUUUUGAGUGCCGUGGAGCCAAGGGUGGUCAACUGGAGUUUAGUUACUAAAGGGGAGACUGGUAUGUCAACUUUGCCACACCUUCAAGAAAUUGAAGCUGACUUGAUCAAGCAUUUAAUUUAACAUUGAUGUGAUGUGAUAGUGAAUAUGUUAUCUUACUAACAAUAACUGAAAUGUUAAAUGUAAUCUGUUGUACAAAUUACAGAUGAUGACAAGAAGUUGAAUUCAACAUAUAUAAUCAGUGUUGCCAGAAAACUUGGAUGUUCCAUUUUCCUGUUACCUGAGGACAUAAUCGAGGUAAGGCUGUCAAUAUUAAAUUUAAUUUUAAUAGUAAUUUUGCUAGUGCUCCAUGAAAAAUCAACUUCAUGGUUUUGUUAAGUUUGGUGAAUGUUAUAAAAUCAACUUCAAUGGGUUGUUCAGAUAGAAUGUAUUAAGUCUUGCCUAGAUUAUGCCAUACUCUAUUGGGCUGAGAAAUUUUAUUUUUGUGGCUCAAGCUUAUUUUGCAUUUAACCUUGACAGGUCAACCAGAAGAUGAUACUCACUUUAUCUGCUAGCAUCAUGUACUGGAGCCUGCUGAAUUCUGAAGAAAACAGCACCCCAGAAACAUCGCCUGUAGCUUCAGCAGAUGGCGAACAUGAAACAGAUUUAGUCAACGAGGUAUCCGAUUUAGCUAUUGAUGAUAAUGCUGCAGAAAAUGCCAGCUCUCCUUAAGCUGGCAGCGUGAAUCUCUGUCGACAUUAAAGGAUCUCUGUCAAAAGGUUGAAGCAAACCACAAAAUGAGGGAGAAAAAUUCAUUUUUGUUUAUAGAAUAGAAAGACGAAGCCGGCCUCUUGGUGCUCGGCGCAAAAGAAAGAGCUUAUAUUUUUUUUAUGAAGAACCACAGAUAAUAGAAGGAUCUUGUAAAAUUUCUUUUAGAAUUUUUUUGUACUUUAGGUAUAUUCUUUGACGAAAAUCGUAUGCAUUUUAUUCCCAAUAAUAAGAAAAGGGAGGAGGCAUCAGUUUAUAUCGACCUGAUAGCCAAGAUUACUCCUAAUCCAUGCUUGCACUCCAUUUUAGAGUGUGGUUUUUCUAGUUCAGGUCUGGAAUUCAAGUAUAAGGCAGAUAGUUGGAGACAAUGCAUUUCAAUUUCUCUGUUUUCCUUCAGAUGCGAAAAUAUUCUUAGUUUCUUUUCUUAACUUGGUUCUGAAUAUUGCUUACAGAAUUUUGAAAUUGAACUGGUUUGAAACUGAAACAGAACAUGUGUAUUGUGUACACAACUCUUGCUCAUGUUGAUCAUUAAAAUGAUCUUUGUCGAUGUAAAUAAAAUUGUUCCUUGUAGAUUCUAUGUAAGUUGUAACCUAGUAACUGUGCAGACUUUAAUUGGCCAUGACUACGGUGCACAAGUACUGAGAGUAUUGCAUCGUACAACACCAUUUAUCAUAUUAGGUCAAAAAGGUCCACCAAUCUUGAUGGUAAAUCAUCCAAACUAGAUCUACUCUCUUUUCUUCUUGUUUCCCACCCUCUUCAAACCCACCUCUUCUGACUCUUGUCAACUCCACCACCUUCAUGUGAAUCAAAUUAAGCACCUUUUUUCUGUUUUUUCUUCUUUUUUUAUACUCAUUUUACAUUCCUCCUGCUUCGUGGUACGAUUAAUUUUCAGGGCAAGAGAAGAGUGAGUGGGUGAUUCACCACUCAACUAUCCUUUCUCUGCCAUCUAACUAUCCAACGACUACCCCCAACGUCCUCAGCUGUGGGACUACGAGUAACCUUUGUUCCUUCAAACUCUUCACGUAUGACAUUUUUGGCAAGCACGUAAUUUACAUGAGGUGUGGCAUCCUUGAGUGCCCGUCUACAGAUUUAUGAAGCUUCUCCUGCCAAGAUUAGAUCCAUCUGAGGGACUCAUUUUUGUUUAUAAACGGAAAAAUUAUUUAAUAAACACACAACAGAGCAUGGGCAGAUGGAUUAGGAGGAAAAAUAGGUGUAUUAAAUGAAAAUAACUAAGAUGUUUUCUUGGUCUAAAAGAUUUGUGUUUUGUUUCUUAUAAAAAAGACCUGAUGAAACAUGCAUUAAUUGUUAAGUUAAAAAAAAAAAACAGCACCCCAGAAACAUCUGAAGAAAACACCCCAGAAACAUUGUAUGCACUUUUUCCCAACAAUAAGAAAAGGGAGGAAGGCAUCAGUUUUAUUUUUUGUCUGAUAGCCAAGAUUACUCCUGAUGUGUGCUUACAGAGAUGACAUGUCUGUACACCAUUUUGGUGUUCUGGUCUGGGAUUCAAGUAUUAUGGUAGAUAGUUGGGGUUGGGACGAUACAUUUCAAUUUUUCUAUUAACUCAACCACAAAGAUACAAGAAGGAUGGACAAUGUUGAGUAUUGCGUAUCAUCGACCGACUAAGAUGGAAGCGUUCAAUUCACCUUAUUAAUGAUAAUUGGUAACUCUUCAAAAAGGACAUUUUUUCGGAUAUGUAAUAUUUCUAUUUCCUUCAUUUGUUGUAUUUCAAUUAUAAAAAGAAGUUUUGUUGAUCUGAUUGUUGUACUUCAAUCAUAAAAAGAAGUUUUGUUGGUCAGAUAUAUUGGUGAGUACUUCAUCAUGUGUACUUUUAAUCGUUUUUGAAAUAUAGUUGUACUUUUAAUAUAUACCAAUUCUCUCGUGAUAUUUGAAUCAGAUUCUUCAAAAAAAUGCAAAGGUGAUGAAACUUCAAGCUCAUAGAAAGUUAUAUUGUUUGUCAUAAUUCAUGAAUAUUUUCAUAAAUAAACUUAUUUGUGGUAACAUUUGCAUGUUGCUGGGUUUUAAGCGUGAAUGGUCAAAUUUGUGACUGAUUAUUUCUUUCAUUGCUUAUGGUGUCUCUUAUUCCUGUGGUCCAGAAACCAUUUAUGUUGAAGGGAAAUAGCCGUUAUUAUUUGUUUUAAUUUCCACCCAAGUAAAAUUUUAAUAGAAAAUAAUAGGACGCAUGAGAAAUACAUAGGAUGAGAAAAGUAAUAGCCGUAAUUUUUAUGUUCAAAUAACACAAAUAUAUUUAUUUUGAAUAGUUAAAUCAAAUAUUUUACAUAUUAAUUACAUCAAUCAAUUUCAAUAUCAAUAAUUAUUUUUUGUUGAAAAAAUAUGAAUAAAUUUUAUAAGGUUAAAGAAGAUAACAAAGAUCAGAAGCAAAUAAUCGUAUAUUUAGAGGAUUAAAAGCAAAUAAUGAAUAUGAUCUCGUACUACAAUAUUUCCAUUGGCCUUUGGUGUUUAAUUACUCUUAUUAAAUCAAGGUUUUUAGUUGAGUUGCUUCUGUUGGCCAUUCAUGUAACAUUUGUAUUGACAAGACAUUUUGUUAUUGUUAUUUGUUGUGUUCCCGCAUAACUGGAGCAGUUGAAGAAAAAAAUAAUUAUAAGUUGAAAAUCCAAGCUAAGUUCCUAAAUUUUGUCUAUCCAGAAAAAAGAAAGUCACAAAAUCAAGGUAAAUAUGCAAUACAACUGUUUUGUGAUUAAUAUCUUGACCUGCUUACACCACAUAGGAGAUGUUUUAUAGAACCUAAGUUAAUAUAGUAGCCCAUAGUUUUAAAAUCUUGUUAAAACAAAGAUUCCUAAAUAGCAGAAGGUAAAAGAUAAAAUUUAUAUAGAUUUCAUAUGGUUCAACAAAUAAGUAAAAAAACCAUUUACAAGACAAUAUCUCUUUUAUGUCUUUAUCUUUGUCCUCAAUUUUCCUGUCGUCAUUCCACAAUGCACCCACAUUUUUUACUACUUUGAUACUAUAUUACUUACUCCGGUGAAUUCAUUACUUUGAUUUUUAGAGUUUAACUAGUUACAAACCCGUGCUUCGCAUUGAAUAACAUAUUUUUUUAAAAUUUAGUUUUGAAGGAGAAAUCUUAUAAAUUACAAAAAAUUGUUGUCCUUUAUAAAUGUGAAAAUCAAAGCUGCGUAAACCAAAAUUUUGCAACACAGAGCCUAAAAUACUACAUAAAAAAUAACAUAACAACUAUUAUAAUAUCUUAUUCCUUAAAGUUAACCCGAACGCAAAAUUUUGCCCAAAAUUUAACCUAACUUCUUUGCUUAAUUUUAUUGUAUUAACCCUAUUUAAUUUAAUCAAAAUGUUAACGUUAAUUGUUAGGGAAAUCAAAAUAAACAAAUCGCUUCUAAUUUUUCUCCUUAAUUUUACUAAACAAAUUAUAUUAACCCUAGAUUUAAUUUAUGCAAAAUGUCAUCUCUUAUCUCUUAUUUUUAAAUGUUAACCCAUGACGCAAUAUUAACCCUAGAUUUAACCUAAUUUUUUCGUGUAACUUUACUAUAUUAACCCUAGAAUUAAUUUAUGCAAAAUGACAUCUCUUAUUUCUAAAUGUUAAACCGUGAUGCAAUAUUAACCCUAGAUUUAACCUAUUUUUUCGCGAGACUUUACUAUAUUAACCCUAGAUUUAAUUUAUGCAAAAUGUAAUCUCUAAUUUUAACCUAAUUUUUCCCUCCACACUUUUGCAUUUAAUGUUUAUCUAAAGUAAAAUAAAAGUAUGUUCCCAAUUAUAUGCUGUUUUUUUGAAAAGGAAUAACCGUUAACCCGUCUAGCUAUACUUAACUUAAUCUCUUACUUAUAAAUGUUAACCCGUCUUGCUAUACUUAACCUAUUUUAUUUUAUUUCUUAAAGUUAACCCGGACGCAAAAUUUUGCCCUAGAAUUAACCUAACUUCUUUGCUUAAUUUUACUGUAUUAACCCUAUUUAAUUUAAUCAAAAUGUUAACGUUAAUUGUUAGGGAAAUCAAAAUAAACAAAUCGCUUCUAAUUUUUCUCCUUAAUUUUACUAAACAAAUUAUAUUAACCCUAGAUUUAAUUUAUGCAAAAUGUCAUAUCUUAUUUAUAAACGUUAACCCGUGACGUAAUAUUAACCCUAGAUUUAACCUAAUUUUUUCGUGUGACUUUACUAUUUUAACCCUAGAUUUAAUUUAUGCAAAAUGUCAUCUCUUAUUUCUAAAUGUUAACCCGUGAUGCAAUAUUAACGCUAGAUUUAACCUAUUUUUUCGUGUGACUUUACUAUAUUAACCCUAGAUUUAAUUUAUGCAAAAUGUCAUCUCUAAUUUUAACCUAAUUUUUCCCUCCACACCUUUGCAUUUAAUGUUUAUCUAAAGCAAAAUAAAAAUAUGUUCCCAAUUAUAUGCUGUUUUUUUGGAAAUGAAUCCGUUAACCCGUCUAGCUAUACUUAAUUUAAUCUCUUACUUAUAAAUGUUAACCUGUCUUGCUAUACUUAACCUAUUUUAUUUUAUUUCUUAAAGUUAUACCGGACGCAAAAUUUUGCCCUAGAAUUAACCUAACUUCUUUGCUUAAUUUUACUGUAUUAACCCUAUUUAAUUAACCAUGUUUAAUUUGAUCAAAAUGUUAACGUUAAUUGUUAGGGAAAUCAAAAUAAACAAAUCGCUCCUAAUUUUUCUCUUUAAUUUUACUAAACAAAUUAUAUUAACCCUAGAUUUAAUUUAUGCAAAAUGUCAUCUCUUAUUUCUAAAUGUUAACCGGUGAUGCAAUAUUAACCCUAGAUUUAACAUAUUUGUUCUAGAAGUACUUCUUUUAGUAAGUACUUAAUUGAUAUUGUGUUUGACCUAACUUCUUAAAAAUGUAGAGAAGUUUGAAAAAUGUCGGGUCAAACGAUACCUUAAUCUUCCACAACGGCAAUGUAGAAGCAACUGAAUUUGGGGGAAAAAAUUGAAAAAGUUAAAAAUAUAAAAAUUGGAAAAUAAUUAAAAGUUAUUAAAAAUAUAAAAAUUAGAAAAUAAUUAAAAAAAAUUGGUUAGGGGAAAAAAUGGAAAUUCAUAGGCCAUUGUUAAAAAAAAUAUAUAAUAUUAAAAAAUAAAGAAAAGGUUCUCGGCGUAAGUUGAAAAGAGGUGUUUGUGAAAUAAAUUGUCGAGAAGUAGUUUUUUAAAGUAACAUUCAACAUCUUCUGGUCAAAGCUCGUUCCAUUCAAUUUUAUGCGUUCAAAAAAAGUACUUUUUUAAGUAAGUACUUAAUUGAUAUUGUGUUUGACCUAACUUCUCCUUAAAAAUGUAGAGAAGUUUGAAAAAUGUCAGGUCAAACGAUACUUUAAUCUCCCACAACGGCAAUGUAGAAACAACUGAAUUUGGGAUAAAAAAAUUGAAAAAGUUAAAAAUAUAAAAAUUGGAAAAUAAUUAAAAGUUAUAAAAAAUAUAUAAUUUAGAAAAUAAUUAAAAAAAUUGGUUAGGGGCAAAAAUGGAAAUUCAUAGGUCAACCUUAAAAAAAAAAAUUCAACCAAUAAGUAGAUUACCAAAUUGCCCCUUAUAGGGGCAAAAUGGUAACAAUGGACAUUUUCUUUUAUAUAAGUAUAUUGAAGCUUGCUGGGCAUUGAAAUGAGUUUGUAUGUUCUCUGCACAUGGUUGAAAGUUGAAACACUCUAUAUAGCAUGUUUGAUUUUAGAAUGAGUGUCGUUUUAGCCAAUUUCACACAGAUUAAGGAAUGAAAUAAAGUAGUCAAAUGUCAUAGCAAUUUUACCAAAUUAUCCUAAUCAACUAUUGGUUUGUUUUUCAUUAAAGAAAAAAUAAUACUAUGUAAGUAGUGUAACAUAGUAUUAAUUGAAUAGUACAACUAUUGGUUAUUAUUGCAUUGAAAACUGAAAGUGAUAUUCAUUUUAAAACAUUUUUUUUAGCUAAAACGACACUCAUUUUAAAACGGAGGAAGUAUAAUUUUAGGGCAAAUGAAAACCUAACCGAAAAUCAAUUUGUAAGGUAGGUAGAUAGAAUUAGUGAAUUGAUUAUACACAACACCAUAUACAAUUCAAACAUUCAUGAAUUAAAUCACUAAGAGAAUUUCAAGAAUUAAGAGUUGACUAUAGUUUUUACUUUAUUUUCACCAUCAUAAAAAAUAAUCAUUACCAAAGAACGCUUCAAAUCCUUUGGUUCUUCUGCCUCUUUUAAUUCGUUAAUAUAUAUCUUUCACAAACAUAAGUUAGAUAGCAAAAAAGUAUUCUAGUGUAUUAUGUAUACACUAUGACAAAGAAAUUAACAAUGAGAUGCAUAAUUACAACCGUAUGUUUUUUGAAUGCUGUGAUAGUUGGUUUCAUGCGAUCCGACUCAUAAUAAUUCAUUAGUAGAGCUUGUUGAAUAAUUGAAUUAGAUCUACCCUCUUCUGGAUCCACCAACUUGUUGAUAGUUAUUAUAUGCUUUAUUUACGUAAUAAUUCAAUUAUUCAACAAACUCUACCAAUGAAUCAUUAUAAGUCAGAUAUCAUAAAACCAACUAUCACAGCAUUCAAAAAACAAAUGGAUGUAAAUAUGCAUCUCCCAUUGUUAAUUUCUUUGUCAUGGUAUACAACUAGAAUAUUUUUUUUAACUACUAUUUAACUUAUCUUCUGACAAAUAUAUAUUAAUGAAUUAAAAGAGUUGGAAAAGCCAAAGGAUUUGAACCAUUCGUUGACAAUGUUUAUUUUUUAUGAUGGUGAAAAUAAAGUAAAAACUAUAGACAGCUCUUAAUUCCUGAAAUUCUCUUAGUGGUUUAAUUCUUGAAUGUUUGAAUUGUAUAUGGUGCUAUGUAAUGAAAAUUGAUUUGAAGAAAAGGUAUGUGAGUUUUUGUUAUUGUUUAGAGUUUACUGUUGAUUGAUUUUGAGGAAUCGAAAGUAAUGAUUGUCAUUUGUAGAUACAUUUUUUGUUUGACAAGAAUCUAGAAUCAAUGUAUGUCGGUGUUAAGGUUGGAUUGUUUGCAAGUAUGAAAAAUAAAAAAGAUCAAAAGAAAGUAUAUCAUAAACUAUAUCAAAAUUUGAUAGGAUCGUACAUAACAAACAUAAAUAUUCUAUAUUAGGAUUAAAAAUGAUCUACAUCCAAUAUCAGAUCAUUGCAUGUUAUCGUUGUCAUCCAUUGCAAAAAGGCUUAAUACAUAAUUUGAUCCCUUAGUUUAUUUUUGGAUUUCAUUUUGGUCCUCUAACUAUAAAGUGUUUCAAUUUGGUCCAAUAAUUCUUCUGCCGUUUACUAUUUUGGUCCUCUCCGUUGAUUUUUCAAUAACAGUUAACCAAUUGUCCACAUGUCAUUUAAGAUUGAUAAUCAAGGGUUAGAUUUGAAAAGUACACAAUGGGCUCACAACAUAUGAUCAUUUGUAUUUUUCUUGAUUUCCCUAAAAAUAAAAAUUUAAAAUCACCAUCAAUCUUCAUCUUUUUAUAUAUUUUUUUGAAAAAUUGGCAUCCAGAUUUUUAAAAAUUAAAUAUUUCCAGAAUUUUGUAAAAAAAAUUUAAAAAAACCUUUUUUUUGGAAAAAAAAAAACUGACCUUUUCUUUAAAUUUCGUAAAAUAUUUAUAAUUUCAUAAAAAAAAAAUUCAAAUUUUUAAAUUUUGAAAAAGAUUUUAUAAAAAUUCUGGAAUAAUUUUUUUUUCAGAUUUAUAAAAAUCUGAAUUUUUUUAUAUAUUUUUUAAAAAAUUUGUUUACAGAUUUUAAAAAAUUGAAAUAUUUUCCAGAAUUUUGUAGAAAAUUUUUUAAAAAACCUUUUUUUUUAAAUUUGGUAAAAAAAAAAAUCAAUUUUUUUUAUAAAUCUGGAAUAAUUUUUUUCAGAUUUUAUAAAAAUAUGAAUUUUUUUUUAAAAUUGUAUCCAGAUUUUUAAAAAUUAAAACAUUUUCCAAAAAUUUUAAAACCUUUUAUUCGCAAAAAAAGCUGACCUUUUUUUAAAAUAUUGUAAAAAAAUAAAUAUUUUCCUUAUUUUUUUAAUUUUGAAAAAGAUUUUAUAAAAAUUCUGGAAUAAUGUUUUUUUUAAUUUUUUAUAUAUUUUUCAAAAAAAAUUAUCCAGAAUUUUGUAGAAAAAAAAUAAAAAAAAACUUUUUUUUUUCGAAAAAAAAUCUGACCUUUUGUUUAAAAAAUAUAUAAAUGGUCAGUUUUUUUUUUAUGAAAUUUUUAUAAAAGGUUUUUUAAAAUUUUUUCUAUAAAAUUCUGGAAAAUAUUUAAUUUUUAAAAAUCUGGAUGCCAAUUUUUUAAAAAAUAUAUAAAAAGAUGAAGAUUUAUGGUGAUUUUAGAUUUUUAUUUUUAGGAAAAUCAAGAAAAAUAUAAAUGAUCAUAUGUUGUGGGUCCAUUGUAUACUUUUCAAAUCUAACCCUUGAUCACAAAUCUGAAAUGACAUGUGGAUAAGGAUUAACUGUUUUUGAAAAAAUUAACGGAAAGGACCAAAAUGGUAAAUGGCAGAAGAUAUAUGAGACCAAAUUGAGACACUUUAUAGUUAUAGGACCAAAAUGAAAUCUAAAAAUAAAUUAAAAGAUCAAAGCAUGUAUUAAGCCAAAAAAAAAAAAAAAUAGUAACUUAGCAAAAUAUAAAAUAACCAUAUGGACCUCUAAAGUUAAUAUUGGAUCUUUUUUUUUUGUUAUCAUUUGAUUUUCUAAUUAUAUUUCCAAAUGAAAUUCCAACCCUAUAAUUCAUUGUACGUGUAUUUUUUUCAUUUGGUGUAAAUGUAAAGUUUUUUUUUCACAAAAAUUUAAAUAUAAAUUUAAUAAAUCGAUAUAUUUUUCCAAUAUCAUUUACUUUAAGUGAUUUUCGUAAACGUGGCUAUCAACAAGGACGAAUCCUUUUGAAAUGAUCGGGUAGCUUUGGCUACCCCAAAAUUAUUUAUACUUGGUCAUGGUUUAGAAGUGUUCAUUUUAUCAACCUGUGACUGGUUCAAUUCCCAACAACCAUUUUUAUAUUAAUGAUUUUUAAAAAAAAAUGUCAAAAACGGGAGGAGAGGGUAUUGACCCGACGACGCACUACAGGGUAAUUGCCCGUUUACCACUAGGCCAAGUAAUUAAACAUCAUAAUCUUCCAACAUAUAUUAUAUAUAAUGCAAUAUUUAAGACUAAUAUAUUAAUAAUAUAUAUAUAAAGGGUAAUAAUCCAGUGUAGUAAUUGUCACAACAUGCCUUAUGGUGGAUCAGCCCCUAUAUCAAGGCCAUACUUAAUAUGUUUCGUAAAAUUUAAGCUUAAUUGCAUUUUUGGUCCCCUAUAUUUUAAAAAGUUGCGAUUUUAACCUCCUAACUAAUUAAAAUACAAAACAGCCCCUUAUGUAUCUGAAUCAUGGCCAUAGGUAGAUUGAAAUGUGUUGUGGAAAUUGCAAGUACCACUAAUGGUUAAAAAAAUUGUGUAGCACAUGAAAUCAAUUGCAAUCAACAGGUAGGGCAUGCCACUUUAUGCAAUAUUGAUGGUUCCUUUUUUACUAAUGUUGUAGGCAUUAAAAUGUGUCUCCGUGAUGAGCUCCAGCAUUUUGUUUUGGCCAAGAUUAAAAUAUAUAUAUAGGGUGUAAUGCAUAAAACGAUAACAAUGGAUUAAAAAAACAAUGGAAAAAAAAAAUUGUCAAAAAAAUAUUGAAUGCAUAUGUUUGUAUUUGAAAAAGAAAAAAAAAAGAAAAAGAAAAAGAAACUAAAACUCAAGAAAAAAAAAGUAACUAAAACAUGUGUUUAUUGUUUACUUUCAAAUUAGGUGACUUCUAUAACAAAAGCAACAAAGGUUAAGGUUUAGUGAAUGCUCCAAAGCAGUAAAAUUGCCUAUAGAUCCGCAUGAAUUAGAAGAAAAAGUCAAAACAAAAUACUUGGCCAACUUAAUUCACUAAAUUAAGAGCAACCAACAAGAACAUUUCAGCCUUAAUAUUAUAAUUUUGUUCUGUGUUGUGUUGUGUGAAUUCAGCAUUGUACCAUUAAAUCAAAACUAUGUUAGCAGUUUCUCAAAACCCCAACAAAGAACUCCAAUUCACGAAUGCAAAGGUCAAAGGGUGAGGCGCGAAGACGAUUCAGGGAUUUCAAGCGAGCAGCAAAAUCAUGAACAUGAACGCAAACAACACGCCACCAUUGGAAGCGGGAUAUGAAUGAUCACACCUUAAUGAUUUUACUUAUUUUUUGAGUAUGUUGUAUCCAUCAAUCUAUCAUUUGAUUUUAAUCAUGUUCAUGAUCAUGUAUGAUGUAUAUUUAUUUAUCAAUGAAUUUGUAUAGGAAUAUGGAGUCGUUACAUUAUAAGAGAGAACAAGAUAAAUGUUUGGUUGUAUGUGAAAGAAAAUAAAAAACACAGAAGAGUACGACUCAUUUUGCCAAUGAUAAAUAAUGUAUGUGAUCAUAGGACAUUUUAUAAGUAUCCUUAUAGUAGCACGUGUGAAUAAUAAAUAAUAAUCUUCAUUGUAUUGUACCCUUAGUUAUGAGUUAUGUAUGUGACUUGGAGGCAAUAACAUCUCACAAUGAACAAAUAUACGUAUCUGAGUUAGUUAGAAACCAACUAACCUUCUUCUCUACCAUCAAAGAUAACACUAUCUAUAAUUAAGUGCUAUCUUGUGUAAAAAUAAUAAAUAAUACUAAUAAUUAAGAGCUUCCUUCAAAAAAAAAUACUAAUAAUUAAGAGCUAUAUCAAUUUUCUUGUAAUCAUGGCAUACCUAUUUUUCCCUUAGAACAUUUUCCUAUUAUUUAAUUUGGACUAUAAAGUAUGAGUAUUUUACAAUCCAACAUUUUUCAAUUAUUUAAUUUGGACUAUAAAGUAGAAGUAAUUUAUAAUUAGUCAAAAUAUAUCACUUCAAAAACGUACAUGUGAGACACUUAAAAAUAAUGUAAAAAAAUAAUGUCUUUUUGUAUGUGUGCCUAAACAUUAUAAAUAUGGUCUUGUGACUGUAGAAUACUAGCUCUUUCCACAUAUAAUUAUCAUCAUGAUCAUACUUACUAAGUGCUUCUCAAACACAAGUUAAAAAAGUUAUAAGUAUAAAAUAUAUUUCUAUAUUGAUUUCCUUAACCAAUACUGCUGAGGAACUAGUUGGUAUUUUCCUUAUUAUUAUGCCACCUAACAACAAGGAAAAAAAAAAUAGCCAAGUGUGCUUUGAAAUUUUACAACCACCUAGCAAUUAAACUGUCCCAACAUUUUUAAUUCCCAGGAGCUUUAAAAAAAUUCAUCUAAAUAGUUAAAUUUUUAACAAGAUAACAUAAAUCAAACAGGCUCAAUUGCCUUGGGAAAUCAAGGAAGCCAUGGAGAUUGGAGAAUACUUAAGAAAGUAAACCAUCUGCUAAAAUUUAAUGAUAAUUCACAUUAUAAAAUUAAUUAAUAAUUUAUAAUGUUUUCAUAUUCAAAUUUACACUUAUAUAUCACCUACAAACAUCCUGAAAAACACCAGGGCUCUCAUAUCAGGCAUACCAUGAUGCCCUGAGGAGGAUAUAAAGGAUUCCACAGAUUCAAGGUUUUGCUCGUCGAAGCAGACCGUACUUAGGACGAUCACUUAGAUGAUCGAUGGUUCUGAAACAUUUCAUAUUAAAACUAGACAUUUCAAUGUCUCAAAAGAAACAAAAAAAUAAAAUCAAGACAAAAUCAAAGGGCUAUUUGUCAUCCACUUUAAGGGAAUUUAGCUUUCUUAUCCUUUGAUCAAGCUCCUUCAUGACUUCAGGUUCCUGUUUCUUCCUUUCUUUCGAUAUUGUAUUUGUUGUCAUCGAACCUAUCUUAUCAAAUGCCACCUGCAAACAUCAAACGGAUGAUAACAGUGAAACCAUAAAGUACAAUAUAUAAAAUAUUAAAAUGAAAUCAAUUAGAGAAAGAUAUGAUUAAUAUGACCAAUUGAAAAUUUUCUUACGGUUAGUAAAUCAUCUGGAUCAAAUAGGUGAUGAGUGGUUUGAUGCAGAAUAUUGAUUGCUUCCCCAACAUGAUGGGUUAGAAGUAAUUGAUCUUCCUUCAUCUGCAAUAAGAGGUGAAAAUUGUUGAAAAAUUGAAAUAUUAUAGUGCGUAUUGAUCAGAAACCAAGAAAGAACGGAAAGUCUAAGCUAGUGGUACCUUAAAAAUUGCCAAGGCCACAUUGAAUAUAACCUUAGCCCCCUCGUAGAAAAUAACAUCCCAUACUCGCAGCGUUGUCUGAAUCAAGGAAAAAGUAUUACCAAGGGGAAUUUUUUUAAGAUUUCGAUGUAAUAAUUUUAUUGCAGUGUAUUACUCAAACUAACCUCUGACGGUAGACUCUUUGAAAACAGGCACAGGAACCACUCGGUGGUAACAAGGGAAACGUCAAAUUCCAAAGAAUCCAAAUGAGUCGCAAUCCUGCAUUUCCAUUUCGGCAAUUUUCAGAAUUUACUAAGAAGUAAACAUAUGACAACAGUUAAUACAUCACAUUAAAAUACCUUGGGCACUUUUUAGUGAGUAAGUCUUUGAACACUCUUUGCUCAACAUGGCAUCCUGAUAAGUUGUUUGUGUAACAGUCGCUAACCAGGACAUUUUCCAACAAGACAGCAAGCAUCCAAAAUGCAUCUUCUUCGGUUUUCAUGACCAGCAACAACAAUGCUGCAACAUAAUUCAAACCCUGGAGCCAAAAUAUUGUAGAGUCAGUACUUAAGAAGAUACAUUCUUCGGCAUGCAUUUAUUCAUUUUUAAUCAAAACAAUAUUAAUCAAUAUUAUUGUCAACUGUAACCAAAGGAAUUGUGUUUUAUUAUAUUUUACCUAACUUGAAAAUUUUUAAACACUUGCUGAAGCAAUUGAGACCAGCAAAUGUAGAAGCAUAAUAGGUUUCAUGAAUGUAACAUAUUAACAUCUAAUCCCAGAAGAAAAAGAAUAGAGGUAUCAUCAAUUAAAUAAAAGCAGAUCACAAACAAAAUACAUUUUCUGUUUAGAUAGCUACCAUGAGAUAUUAAGUAGUGUCAAAUUCAAAGUUAUCAGACACUAUCAUUCAUCCUGCUUGCUUCGCAAGUGGGGAAAACUUCACAAAAGGAAGGUGAUCAGAGCCACACAUACCUGACAAUACCCAACAUCAGAGUCACGGAAAGAAUAUGCAACAAGAACACGCCUAAGAGCAGCAUGCCCCUCAGGUGUGUCCAGCCAUGCGUGACCAGGGAAGGUUCGCGGUAGGUCCUGUAGAAAUGGUUAUGAAAAUUAAUUAUAAACAGAAUAAAAGUAACGAUCUUUUUGGCAUCUAGACAAGUUCAAUUCACUCUCAAACAGAUAUUCAAUGACAAAUGAACAUAUAAAGAUCGCAUCAAACACUCUGAUGACCGCAGUCCCUUCUCCAAACUAAUGGAAUUCACAUUGUUGGAAAAGUAGAUAAGUAAAUCGAAAUCCAAGAUAUUAAAAUCCGACCACGAUCUUUAAACUGCAUCGAGGAGAUGACCACGCAGGUUCAUAUGUUUUUCUGAUCAGCAUAUACUCAAAACUACAUUUUAGUUUAGCUAAAACUCAUAUACUCAAGAACAUAUACAUUAUUUACAAGAGCUAAGGCUAACCGAUCCCUUUACAAGAGCUAAGGCUAACAGAUCCCACAACUAUACUAAUGGUUGUAAAUAUAGAGCUCAGAAAUGAUUCACCUCUUAUGAAUCUUCCUUAACUCUCAUUGACAUUCAUAACCAAUAAGUCUUGCUCAUUAGAGGCAAAAAAUAAAAGUCAAACCCACAAUUAUGAUCAAAAUCUGCAAAACUUUUCACAAAACCAUUAAUCUAGACAAUGUGAUUCACAAACAUAUGAUCAACACAAAAGGAUCAACACAACACAUCAGCAAAUACAUGUCUAAUAAAAUGGAACCAAACAAUCCAUAAGGAUGAUGAUGCACACAAACUUGUGAUCAAAAUCAAAUCCCAAUUUCGUGAUGAUCAUAAACAAGCAUAAAAGGCGAAGAACUCACAUGAUCUAUCUGUCUAGUAGCAGGGGUAACCUUCCCCUCCACAGCUUUUGUCAAAUCAUCAUAAUAACUAUCAGGAACCGUGGACUUUUUCUUCGCAGCACCGGACAACGAAAACCAAACCUUAGGCCUAAGAACCGGUGGUAUCCCUUUCCUAAUCAACUUCUUCAAAGUAAUAGCAUUAGCCAAUGCCGAAAACUUCAACGAAGAUGUAAGGGCACUCCCUUGUCCUAUGGUUGUAUGAAGAUACCAAUUAACACCUUUACUGGCCUCCAAUGCCCACCAAACUCUACCUUGUUGUCUCACCUUUUCCCUUACCUCAUUCAACACAUUCACAUCAUCCACAUUCCCUUCAACCGUAAAUCCGUAAAGGUCUUGAAAUUUCACAGUUAUAUUUGCUCUUCUUGAAUGAAUACUAGGCCUCAAUACUGAUAUUUGAGAUUGGUAUUCAAAUGCAAGGUCUAUUUUGCUUUUUGUUCCAUACAUUUUUUGUUUACCUUAAACAACACAAAAAACACACAACAGGGUUAAGGUAUAUUGUGACAAAUAUUGUCUUUUUAGGACCUUGUCAAAUUUGAAACACAACCAUGAAUUGGUCUAUUUAGAGGAACUGGGUCAUUAAGAUUAGGUGAAAAAAAGUUGAAUUUUUAAUCAAACACAAAAUGGGCUAAUCAAGAUUUAAUCAAAAAAGGGUUAGAUUCAAAAUUCAAAUUUAUGGGUCAUUGAAAAAAAAAUAAAAAACCCUUUUUUGAUAUCAUCAAAAAGAUUGAAACUUUGAUGAAAUUGAGCUGAAAUUGUUUCAAGACUAAGCUUGUCUAAUGAAAAAAAAUCAAAUUUUUAGAUGAAUUAUGAAGGGAAAUCAAAAGGGGGUAAAAUUGAAGAAAAAAAGGGAUUUUUGUAGAUGAAUGUGAAUGUAAUAUAGAGAUAGAAAAAGGAUCUGAAAUUGAGAGAGAAAGAAUGAAGAAAGAAGAGAAGGGACAAGAAUAAAACCCUAGAAUAUAGGGAAAAGAAAGAAAAUUGAAGAAAAAAAAUAGAAAAGAGUGUAAAAACAGAACGAAGAAAUAGGUGGUGGUGUUUCUUAGCUGUUUAAGGCUCUCACUUUGGACACAAAAUCUAAAUAUCUUCAAAAGAUUUAUUAUUUAUUUAUUUAAAUUUGUCAAUUUGACUUUACUUUCCCUUUUUAUUUUUCAGGUAAAAUUCAACUUUCAUUAAACGUUGUUGUGUUCAUAACUUCAUGAUGUUUUUUUUCCUUAAUAGUAGGCAUGGCAACAAAACCCAUAUUCGUGGUAUCCGUCCGAACCAAAUUCAAUUUGGCGGGUUUUUCCCGUUUUGACUGAGUUUGGGUACGGGUAUGGAUUUUCCCCGAUCUCAAAACACGGGUAUGGGACGUGUAACGGAUAUAUAGGUACCCAUCCCGAACCCAUACCCAAACCCGUCCCAAAUGUAAAAAAUUAUUUUAUGUUGAUAUGUUAUGUUAUUUUGUUUGAUAAUUGUCAUGUUAAUAAAAACUAUCAUUGAUAUUUAAAGGAUCAACUAAAUCAUUUUGUCUAACAAAUGUGAAAGUGAGGUUAUUGUUGGAUAAUGUAUUACAACGUUGCUCUUGAGGAUGCAAAAAAAAUUAUAUUUUUUAUUAAAAAAUAUUCAAUGCGGGGACGAGGAUGGGGCGAGGAUACCCGAACCCGUCGGGAACGGGGAUGAGAUUCAAUUUCUCAUUCCCGUUGGAUAUGAGUAGCGUAACGGGUAAGUAUACGAGAAUCGGGUAUGGGGACGGGGAAGGUAAUACCCGUCCCCACCCCCCAUUGCCAUGCCUACUUAAUAGUAUCUUUUUAAAUUCCUUUUUAUUUUUUUGAUAAAUUUUGUAUGGUGAGUGCAUGAUGCCUUGCCUAAUGUAGAAAAUACUUUCAAUCUUGAAAACAUUUAUAAAAAUACUUAUGUUUUUCAUCAUUUAAAACCACUAGCAUGACUCGAACUCGAAAUAUUUAGGUCCAAUACUUAUCUUUUUACUAGUACAUCAAACUUUUUAAGUUAAAACGCUUAAAUUCUAAUUGUGGAGAUCAAUUUUUGAGUUUAUAACUGAUAAGUUAUUAUUUAUAAGCUCAUAUGAUUAGCAUGAGUUUGUUUGAUAACAAUACAUUUACCAAAAGGUAAUCCUAGUAAUAUGAAGUUUGGUUGAAAAAUAAGUAAAAUCUUAUAUAAAAUUGUUACAUUCAAAAUUAAAUUCAAGUUUUCCCUAACACAUUCUUAGAUGGAGUUCAUUAUCCACUUAAGCACAAUCACUUAGUUAAUUGUGAGUAAACUCACUUGAGUUGGCUUGAUUGUGUUGCUUUAGGACGUUAGAGUAAACUCAUGGAGAUAAGUUUAAACAAAUUAAUCCAAACAUGAUCUAAAGACAUUAAAUUCCUAUAAUUCAUUCGCCGAUUCUAUUUUUCUUUUUAGUAAUAUAGCAUGCUGGAAAUGAAUAAUUUAUAAAAAAAUAUAAAGAGAAUCGAACUUCACACAUUAAGAAGAUCGUAUUUUAAGGUAUCAAACCAACUCAAGUGGAUUUCAAUUAAAAUAUAAGUAAAUUAUGAUCAAUUAUUGUUCGUUUAAAGUUCAAACAAUUUAUGAUUUGAUAAAAUUAAUUAAACAUAUAAGCACUAUAACUUAAUUUUAAUUGAAAUUGAAAUACUUAUAGUAUUUUUGUGACACUUGUUAAUAUAACGUCUAAAAUAAUGGAUUCAACUAUGUUAAAAAAAAUAUUCAUGAAAAUAGGUACUGUCAAACUCAAUGAAUAGUUUUCUUUUGACAGAAAAACCAAAUAAUGCAUGAAAUUUAAAAAUGGAGAUAGUAGCCUCCUGUUCUUGUAACGUGCAGAGGGUUAAGAAAAGCUCUUUAUUCCUCUCAAGAACAGAAACGUUCUUAAUUAUUUUAAUAGAAUAGAAUAAUAAUAGUGGAAGGGAGCGUCAAUAACUCAAUAUUGACCAUUUGUCAAAAAAAAAAAACUUAAUAUUGAUCAUGAUAGUCAAAGUUCGAAAACAACUUAUUUUAAAGAAGAGUUCAGAAACAAAUUAAGAUGAUGUUUGGUUCUAUUGUCGUAAAAAGGUUAUUUUGAAUGAACUACCAUGGUUCGGAGACGAUAAAGUUUGCAUUAGAGUAGUUGAGACGGACACGAAGAUAACUCGAUUGCAUCUGUUCACAUCAUCAUAGUGAAUGACAUCGAGUAAUAUUCCUGCCUACCCCUUCAAAGUUGUCAUAUUUGUCUGCUGCUAUUUCGCUUGAGCCGGAAUAAAUUAGUCACGGAAGUCUCUAAACCAACACGCAAAAGAUGAAAUAUGGUUACGACAUAGAAUCAGGGGCGGAGCCACCCCCCAGCUAGCCUGGGGCACUAGCCCAGGAUCAGCUUCUACUUUCUUUGAGGCAAGCCCAGCCAUUACUAGAACUUCUCGCUUUUUCUGCGAAUUUUUGUGUAAAUUCCGCAGGAAACACAUUUCCUGCGGAUUUAGGUUAUAAAGUGAGGUAAUACCUUAUGAUUUUAGGAUUCGCAAGAAGGAAAUAACAUUUUUUGCAAUAAAUUUUUUGUCCAGACUCUAUAAAAUUCCUGACUCCGCCACUACAUAGAACGCGGAAUCGAUACAUAAAUUAGAAAUUGUUAAAUAACCGUAUUAGAAACUUCGAAUAUUAUAGUGAUAUAAUAUAAAAAAAACACUUUUAUGAUUGUAAAAAAAAAAAAAACACUUUUAUGACAUAAUUUACAAAAACAUAUGUUAAUUGAUAUGUAGGCCAUAUGGCUGCCAAACGUUCUAAUUGGUAUCUUCACAUAUUAGUUCUGUCUGAUACCAUAUUUAUUGAUAAAUUAUCAAAAAGUAAAGGAAAGACUGGGAAAGAAAAGUUCGUGUGUUUUUAAUUUUUAUUGACAUAUUUUUGCAAUAAAAUGUAAAUUGUUUAGUUUGAAGGCAAUCAUGUAAAUGUGACCCACACAAAAUGAUCAUUUGGAUACGAGGGAAAUUGGUAUGUGGGACCCGUUUGGUAGGCCCAUCCUUUCCUUACUCCAAAAGGAACAAAUCACGUGUGAGUGUGAGUACUGGGAAAGAAACAAAAGAGGAUCUAUAUGGAUAAGGCUCACCUAAAUUGAAAAAUUAUUUAUCUCCUCCAAAAGUAAAUCAACAACAUGAGAGUUAUAAUUCCCUCAAAAAAACAUGAGAGUUUUUUUGAAGAAAAAAAAAAAAUACGCUGAUAUAUUCACUGAAUAUCGUGUGUUUUCAUUGAAGGGAUAUUGAAAAGAGCAAUGCUAUAUCGACAAAGAUUUCAAUCUGAUGAAUACAAUCAAACUAGCAAAAAUAUGUCGAGAUUCGGUCUUUUAAAUACUAUAAAGUUCGGAUACUCUAAAAUGAAGAUGUUCCUUUAUCGGAUAUGUAUCAGAUACCGAUGCUCCGCGGAUACUUUCGGAUACGUAUCCAUGAAGAAUCAGAAUUAAUUAUUUUAAUUUAAAAUAUAUAUUUUAUUGGAUACUUAUAAGAUACUCGACAGAUACACACAGAUACUUAUAAGAUACUUUACAGAGACGUAUCCUGGACAAAAAUGAAGUGUAAAAAAAAUGAGACUGUGUUGUGAAAAUUCAAUGGAGAUGUAUAUGAUUCAAUUUAAGAUAUGAAUCACUAUAAUUGUUGUUCGAUAACUAAUUAAAAAUUAUGUUUUUGGUGGAUGAAAGUAACGAGAGAGGAGAUAACCUAACAUAUGAAUCAAAAUAGAAUAUAAUUUAUACAAACGGAUUGCGAAAUCUUAUCAUACCUGUAUCCGUAGUACGUAUUCGGGCGAUUAUAACUAUUCCAUAUGAAUGAAAUAGUCUAAAUACAACCCAUCUUGUAAAAAUAUACUAAAACAUUUUAUCUGAUGAGACACUUGUUUAAAUUCACAAUUCAUCACUUCUUAACAUAUUUAUGCUUUUGAGAGAGAGUUUGUAGGCCAUUAGAAUCUUUUGAAAAAAUAAAUAGAAAAUGUUAUUUUAUCUAUGUUGUAAAUUUUGAGUAUAUUUCAACAAUUUAAAUUAUAUUUUUUUUCUCAUGGUUUUAAAGUGAAAAAUAUAGAAAUAUAUUUUUAUUAUAAAAACUAGAAAAACAAUAUAUUUCUAUUAUUUACGACUAUAUUGACUUUGUUCAUGGUUUCACCGUUAUUGAGUAUGGACAAAGAUAGUAGACUUUCAAUGAAUGAAUAAGUAGUCUUUAAAGCGGGUGGCAUUUAGGGUGGGUAGGGAGAAUACUUUUCUACCAUGAAAAAGUACCAUUUUUAACCAUUGAUAUAUUAUUAUUUUAAAGGAAUGGUUUAGAUUCACUCAAUUUUUUUCCUUGCAACUUUUUGAAACAGUACCUAGAUAAAUGAUGACAACACAAAUAAUAUUUUUUUUUAUAAUUCAAUCUGGACUUUAUAUGCUUGAUUUUGGGCUUCAAAUUUUUUUGCUAAGAAUGAGCAACGUAAAUAAUAAAUUUUCUUUUCCAAAAAUAUUAUAAAAUUUCAAAAAAAAAAAAAAAAAGCUUAAUUACACCACAGGUCCUUUAAGUUUGACGUUUGUAACAGAUAUGUCCUUUAAGUUUGUUUUGUAACAGAUAGAUCUUUAACUUUGUAACACUGUGCAACUAAGCCAAAAAAAAAAUAUAAAUCAAAUCAAAACUUUUUCAAAAAUUGCUGGCACCCAAAGUUUUUCAAAAUUACUCCCCAUUUAUUUUCUAACAAACCUUAAUUAAUUUACAAUUUUUUUUAAUCACUUGCCGUAACAAGAAUUUUAAGCUGUAAAUGUUACAUGGAUGCAAGAAAAUGCAAUAUAGCCGUAUAAUGUUCUUAGGGCUUCAUCGAAUUUUUUUCGUUAAUUACAAGGCUCGUUAAAAAAUAUGGUUAAGCUAUUUAAGCAAUUUUUUUAGCUGCAAUUUUGUUUUUAAGCAAUGUUAUCGGCUUUGUUGUGGAAGAACGGCGGUUGUUCUAUAUUUUACAAAAAUUAAAUAAACACACAUUGCUGUGCCGGUGCUAACGUAAAAAAAACAAGUAGGAAAAAGGGUAUAAAGGUCAAUUGAACGACCGAGUAAAUGUAGGUGCAGAACAGAACAGAAGCAGAAAGCAAUUGGAAGGUGUAGAAUCAAGUAUUAAAAUAUGCUAAUUAAUUUUAGGGUUAAUUAAGUUUUUGGUCCCUAUAAAUAUCUACAGUUUUGUUUUUAGUCCCUAUAAAAAUAAAUCACACUUUUUAGUCCCUACAAAAUUUUCCGUUAGUGUUUUUAGUCCCUGUUAAAUUAAAAUUUGUUUAAUUAUGCUUAAAAUUCUAAAUUUUUUAAUGAUUUUUUACACACUUGUUUAAAACAUUAUAAAAGGUUCCGCCACAAUAAAUUAGCUCAAAAUUUUAUUUUUAGGUCCAAAUUUUCAUUAGUUUUAUCUUAAAUUUUUGACGUUUUAAAAAAAUUAUAUUUAAUUCAUUACAUGUUAAAAAAUUCUAAUUUUUUUAUAAAAGAGAUUAUUAUAAUGUUCUUAACAUGUCUGUUAAAAAUCAUUUAAAAAUAAAAAAGUUUAAGUAUAAUUAAACAAAUUUCAAUUUAAUAGGGACCAACACAUACUUUUAGUCCUUGUAAAAUUAAAAUUUGCUUAAUUGUGCUUAAACUAUUAAAUUUGUAACAUAUUUUUCACAUACUUACUUAGAAUAUUAUACCAAGUUCCUCCGCAAAAAAUUAACUUAAAAUUUUAUUAUUAGGUCCAAAUUUUCAUUAAUAUAAACUUGAAAAUUUUGCUUUUAGAAACAUUCAUAUUUAAUUCAUUACAUGUUAAAAAACUAAAUUUUUUUACAAAAGAGUGUCUUACGAUGUUAUGAACAUGUAUGUAAAAAAUCUUUCAAAAAUUUAGAAGUUUAAGCAUAAUUAAACAAAUUUUAAUUUAACAGGGACUAAAAACACUAACAUAAAAUUUUGUAGGGACUAAAAAGUGUGAUUUAUUUUUAUAGGGACUAAAAACGAAACUGCAGAUAUUUAUAGGGACCAAAAACUUAAUUAACCCUUAAUUUUAUUGUUAUUUUAAUUAUGACCUGUUAUAACUGCCACAUGUCUACUAAAAGUAGACUUUUCCAUGGUGGGAUAGAAUUCCUUCUACCCACCCUAAAUGCCACCUUUAAAGCGUAUUACCCGUGCGUCAUUUCAUCAAAAUAGAAAGAUGUGUCGGAAAAAUGGUUGAUGAGGAUUUUAACUAAAAUAAUAGGUCAAAUGCAUCUAAAGGUCCCUUAAAUUUUUCGUUUUUUCCAAAGUGGUCCUUUAAGUUUCAAAAGUCCCAAACAAAUCCUUUAAGUUUCAAAAGUCACAAACAAGUCCUUUUAGUUUUUGAAUUGUUUCAAACAAGUCCUUUUAGAGGAUGAUGGUGAUGAUUCAGAUGAUAGUAACAAAGAGCAUUAUCCACCAUUUACCAUGCCUAAAAAGAUGACUAAUUUUAAGUGGGUGUUAGGAGCCAAAUUUGGUACCAAAGAUGAGUUCAAGGAAGCAAUUACCAACUAUGCUAUCUACAAUAGGAAUUGUUUGAAACAAUUCAAAAACUAAAAGGACUUCUUUGGAACUUUUGAAACUUAAAGGACCACUUUAAAUAAAACGAAAAAUUUAAAGGACAUUUAGAUGCAUUUGACCAAAAAAAUAUCAUACAAAACAGGAACCAACACUAUAAAAAUGGUCGAAAAUAUCAUGAUAGAUUCUACUUUAGGGAAUGUGUCAUGAAAGAAUAGGUUCAGUCACAACAUUUCAUGAUGAAGCAAUAUUUCAAACGCUAAAUAGAAAAAACCACAUGAAUUAAUACAACUAAUCUCCUUAUAAUCUAAUUCUUAAUUAAUGAAAACAAUUCAGAAAAGAUGUGCCCAUAUGCUGUGAUAGUGGAAGAGAGCCAAGGAAGGAAGCUUUGGAAUAUUGCUUUGUGAAUAAGUAUAUGGAAUAAGUUUUUUUAUUUUUGGCUAAAAUAUGGUUUUAGUCCCUGCAAAUAUGACUCGUUUUGAUUUUAAUUCCUCUAAAGAAAAAUUGAUUUUGAUCCCUGUAAAAUAGUGAAAAAGAUUUCUUUUUUAAAUUUUUUUGCAGGGACCUUUGUAAAUUCUGCUUGCGACAACUCCACAUAUCAAUUUCAGCUUUUGUUUGAAACUUCUUUUUGAACUAGAUUUCUGCCUACAAAACAACUUUCUACUGCUUUUUCACUAUUAAAUAGUUUAUAAUAAUCAAAAAGCCAUUGAAAGCUGCAAUGUAGGUACAUGUCUAGUCAAGAAGAAAUUUUCAACAAAUGGUAAGAUUGUUACACAAGUUGUCACAUAGUUAAAAUUCAAAGUUAAGAACAAGUCAAGUUUAUUUUUUUUAUAUAAUAAUAUAAAGAGGAGGGAUAUAUUGACUCCAAGAGUAAGUCUAAAGAGUUACUCCACAUCCUCACCCUUCAAUUUAUCUAAUUUUAACGGACUAGAUUUGAUGCUUAUUAAUAAUCAUGUGACCUCAUUUACCUUAACCAAUCUCACCACAUUAAUUACAAUUUUCAACUCCAUCAAUAUUUACCUUUUAUAAACACAACUAAUUUUUUUUUUGAGGGAAUAAACAAAACUAAUUUUUGGUAAGUUGGUAAAGAAAAUGUAGUCCCUAAUUAUUUUUUACAACCUCCUCUCGUCUGCAAUUUGUUCAUAAAAAAUUCUAAAAGAAACUUCGUUGCAACUAUUUCACGAUUCACAAUGCAAAUUACAUAUAUUUUUAUUAAUACCCAUUAGUAUGUAAUUUUUGGAAUAUGUUGAUGCUUCCAUAUGUGUUUUUUUUUUUGUUUGGAUUAUCCACACGUGCUUUUUAGAAAUGAUUAUUGUUGGUUUAUUCUUUUUGAGGAUUGAUCAGUGGACUUUUAUGUUGCUAACCCUAGUUUUUAAUUAAAUUUAACCAUGCCUUUGAAUUUGAGUUAGACAUAUGAUCUUUUGUCUAUUUAUCGUGGAGAUGCAAAACCUUGGAUUUAAUUUUUUGACAUGAUUUAAUUUUUGAAAUGGUGGUAACAAUAUAGUAACGUAAGGUUAAGCGUUGAAAAAAAAAAAACUCAUGUGAUUAUUGAUAUUUAUUGAAUCAAAAAGGAAAUCAUAAUUUUAUUUUUUGAGGUAGAAAAGGAAAUCAUAAUUAAUAUUCUAAAAAUGAUUAGGUAGAUGAGAUGAUAUGAUUAUUAAUAACCGAUAAAUCUUGUCCAUUAAAUUUAGAUAAAAUGGAGGGUGAGGAUGUGGAGUAACUCUUUAAACUUACUAUUGGAGUCAAUAUAUUCAUCCUCUACGUUAAAAUCUCAAGUUAAAUUAUAAGAGAUAACCAAUGGUUAUAAUUAUAGAAACACACUGUUUCACUUUGUCAUAACACUUUGUUGAUACGUAGCUUGAACUAAAAAUUUACUCUAGGGUUAAUCAAAUUUGAUUCUCUUACACCUUUACACGUCAAUUUAGAUGUUUCUUAUUCCUUUAAAUAAGUGUUAGCUUCAUAUAUAGUGAAAAAAACUACAAACAAAAUGCAACACAAUUCAAAUAUCUUGAAUCAAAUGCAUGAUAUUCAAAUAAAAGUAAGUAAUAUUUAACAAUUUUCCUCACACCCCAUUCACAAUGCAAGGAUCGAAAAAUAACACUAGAUCAUAACAGAAUGCUCUAAUAACACUCAAUCAAAAUAAAAACACUUCAUUCAUAUAACCAAAAAAAAGUUUCCAUAAUUAGUUAGUUAAGAAGACUUACCUAAUCAUUUUAGCAGGCAAACAGAAGGUAUACCCGCACAUUAUUGCAUUGCGAAACUAAAAUAAAAUAGAGCACCGGUAAGAUCAUGAAAUUGCUACAUAGGUGACCACCGUCCGUCGGAGAACCGAUAACCACCACAUCGACAAUGUUACCAUUGUCAGAAUCGUCUCGAGUCAUCAUUUUAUCCUACUGAUGAAUGCUCAAUAUUUGUCGUUAGAGAUGGAAGAAGGUAUUAUACUUUCAGGUAUGUAGAGUAUAGACACACACGUACAAGAAGUUGCUACUAUACUAUAGUGGAAACAUAAUUGGAAAAUAUGGGAAGCAUGCAUGCAUUAGAGAGUAGUCAAGCAUGAAAACGGUAGUAGCAUUAAUUUAGGAAUAGUAAAAAAAGUGCAUGACUUAGUCAAUACAUACAUGAAACAAUAUAAUAAGAAUAAAUAAUCUUCUAUUGAAUGACGCACGCAAAUAUUAAAUAUAAUAUGUUAAAUGGUGUUACAGCAUUGAAUAUUUAUUCAUUCAUUCAUCACACAAGACAAAUUGUUCUUGUAUUCUGGGCCGGCAUGCUUCAUACAUUGGGCUGAACAUUGCUGGUUGGUUGAUGUUGAUGUUGACGUGACUCCUCCUAAACACUAGUUUUAAGCCGGCUACACCCCCCCUCCAACUUCAUGGAUAAAUUUGGGAAUUGGAUUUGGUAUUCUAAUAAAAAAUUGUGUGAAACUUUAUGUUAUUUUACAACAUAUGAUGCAUACCAAAAAAUUUGAUGUGUGAACUUUGAAGGGUUGAAAGUAUAGAUGGUUGCUCUUUUUCCCUUUACAACUAAGCAAAUUGUUCCGAAGAUAACUUCAAAAUAUAAUAUAUUUUUUUUUGUCUUUGGAGGCUUCAAUAGAUAACUUUCAGAAAUUGCAUUUUAGAAUAAAAAACAAUAGAGGGUGAAAAUAACAACCAUCAAUACAUGUAAUUUAUUACUUUUUGAAAUCCCAUCAAAUAAGAUUGGACCUAGUUUUAUCCUAGCUCACUUAGGCAUUACUUUUUGAAAUCUCGUUCCUACUUUUCACACCCUGCAUCGUAUCCUACUACAUCCUAAAUCGUAGUUUUGAAAAUCCACCCCUAUUUUUAAAAAUAGAACAUAUAUGAAAUUAAAAAACAUGUUUAAUUUUUCAAUCUUACACUUUUUAUCCUUAUAACUUUUUUUUUUUUUUGAUAGAUGAAAUGUCAAAGCCAUCAUAUACCCACACACAAAAAGUAGAGGUGCCGGUGUUUGAAUCCCGAUCAUGACGUCUAACCUAACAGUUUCGACAGUUUUACCAGUUGAGCUAGGACUUAUGUGACUCCUUAUAAUUUUUAUAUUGGGUAUAAAUUCAUAUAUUAAAUUAUACUAUUUUAAUAAAAUUCCGAUCUAGGAAGUUUUCAUUGACUACAUACAUCGGUGCAAAAUUGAAAGUUCAAGUCAAAGACAAAUAUAUAAUUGUAAAUUUGUAAUGAGAAAGGUUGUCAAUUUUUUUUGAGAGGUUAAAAUUUGCGAACUUGUCAUUGUUUGGAAUUGAAUUGGUCAUUUUAAAGGAUUUUAUUUGUGAAAGAUUUUGACCUCUCUCUAUUAAAUUAAUUUGUGGCUAUUUCAACAAACAUCAUUUUAUUUUGGGCAAAUCAAAUAUCUUUAGCGUAUGCAACUACAAAUUUUUUAAAGAGUGAAUCAAUAUCAUUAUGUAUAAUUAGGAAUCAAAUUGGUUACCGUAACUGAAAUCUUCAACUUAGGUUGGGGUGAAUGGAGAAGGUUGGGGUGAAUGGAGAGGCUUAGAAGUGGAGGAGGUUGUUUCCUUGGAAGGAUGAGUUGGUAGGAGAGUGUGUUAGAUGGUCAUGAAUUUUAUGAUAAUGAGUUAAUUGCUAAUAGCCAUAUUUUGUAGUUGAAAGGCAUACAACAUAAUAUAGCUUUCACGAGUGUAGAUAAGUUAAAAAGAAAGAAAUAAACACAUGUUUCAAUAAAAGGAGAAAGAUAUUCAAUCUUUAAGCGAAAAUAUUAAACUUCAUCUUUUUAGUGGUUUAAAUGACAUACGCUAUGUUUGAUUUUGACUAUAAUUAUUGGAGGUUUAAUCCUCUUUCUUGCCUAAUGGCUGUUACUUAGUUUUUUUCUUUUGCUUCAUUUUCUUCAUUCUUGUAUUGGAUAACUUCAUAACUUUAUGUCUUCUUAAACACAUCUUGUGUUGGAGACAUUUUGGUUUGAUAAUAUAAUUCAUUUUAGCAUUUAAAAAAAAAAAAAGUAUAAUUAGAAAUUAAAUUUUAAAUCAAAUCAAAUGAUUAAAAAACUCAAAUAUCUACCACUUAUAUUACACCAUAUACGUAGACAUAGCCACAUACAAUUCCCAUCUGAACUCUCACAUGCAUUGCAACAAAGAUUGUAUUUAAUUCACUAUACAUUAAUUGAUGUAUUUUUAUACUAUUUUUUUUCUUCCGACAAUUAGAAGUUUAUUAUUGAUAUGGUCUAACAAAAAGGUUAGCCAGAAAAAUUCAAAUAUUUAAGGUUAGCUAGAGAUUAUAUAUAAGUCAUCUAUAAGCUAUGAUCACAAGAAUUAUUGAGCUCCUCUUGGAUGUCAUCUUCCAAGUCUGCUUGGAAACCGAUGUUCACAUAUGGAAGAGAAGUAUUAUUUUGACUAGGUGAGAAUUGGUAUUUGUAUUAGGGAUGAUAAUAGUUAAUUUGUUUUUGUUAAAAUAAAAUAGUUCUCACCUCUCCGCUUCGACGAUACAAGUGAAGCUUCUUAGACUCUUUCUUACACUUUGUUGUGGGUGCGUGAUCUUCAAGUAGAAUAUGUGGAUUUUAAAUUUGAUUUAAAUCUUGUGGUUGAUCAAUUCGACGGUUAAAACAUAGAUGUCUUAGAAUUCGAUGUCAUAUUAGAUGGUUGUAGAUAUUUAUUUUUCUUUAAUUUUAAUAUCUUUCAUGUCUAGUUUGUUAGAAAUCAAUAAAACAACUUAUAUUUUAACUAAGACAAACACAUCUUUAACUCUUGUUUAUUCAUUUGUCGAUGACCCAAUAUGGAUUGAACACACUUUUAUCAAUCAAAUGUUAUAAUAUGUCAAAAAAUAAGCAUUAUUUUGACUAUUGAAAAAGCUAAGCACGUACUUAAGGAUAGAUCGCAACUUGAUUAUUAAAAAAAAACACAUGGCUGCUCAUUUUGACUAUCGAAGAUUAGAUCAAAUUAAACAUCAUUUAUAUAAUAUAUUAUAUGAAUAUAAAUAUAUUGAAGGAGCCAGACAUACAUUAUAGUAUAGUGGUAUAGUACUAUAUCAUAUGAUUGAGAAAAUGGAGAGGGAAGAAGCAAAGCAAGUAUCAGAUGAAGAAGCUUUGUUUUUUGCCAUGGAACUAUCAGGUGCUUCUGCUGCUCCAAUGGUUCUAAAAUCAGCUUUAGAACUUGGCAUCAUUGAAAUUAUAGCCAAAGCUGGUCCAAAUGCUCAUCUUUCAUCUUCAAACAUUGCUUCUCAAAUCCCUUCUAUAAAAAAUCCAGAUGCACCUUCUAUGUUGGACCGAUUAUUGCGUCUAUUGGCUAGCUACAAAAUUCUUACUUGCUCCAUUCAACAUCAAGAUGGAGAUUCUAUUGAAAGGCUUUAUGGUCUUCACCCUCUUGCUAAGUAUUUUGUCAAUAAUCAAGAUGGUGUCUCCAUGAUUUCUUCAUUUCUCAUGCAACAUGACAAAGUCCUCAAAGACAUGUGGUAUGAUAUUAUAUAUAUUUCAAUUUAUUUUCUUUUAGUGGGGACCCAUUUUUCUUAUAAAGUAUGAAUGUUAUUAUGGUUAAAUAAUCAAAAACUUAUCUAUAUGCUCAAAUGUAUCACUUUUUAUAAACUCUUUUUUUUUUUUUUUUUGUGAUGGACAUAGUUUGAACCCCGAACCUUACGUAUAUUAUAUGCUGAAAAAGACAUCCCAACAUAACUUGUUGUCUCAUUACCUUUUCCUUUUUUUUUUCUUUUGGACUUUUGCACAUUAGAGAUGCUUCUAUUCUCUCACGACUUCAUGAAUGUACACUACACAUGAUUAAAUUAAUUCAUAUAUAAGUCAGGAGACUCUACCUCUGUCACAUUUCUUUAUUAUGUAUAUGAAGGAAAACUGAAAAGUAUGCGUUAAGCAUUAUUUCAUCACCUUGUGCUGCAUGAUUUAAUAUUCGAUAAACAUAAAAUUUCUUCAACCCAACACCUCAAAAAAAAUGACUAAAUGAGUCUCACUAAAACUCCAUAAAAUGUUAACAUUUAAACAAUAUAAUUUAUUUUAAUAAAAUUUAUUUACUAAGAUCCAUAAAAAAAGUGAUGAGAGAGUCCUUCUAUAAACAUUAAAACUCCUAUUUCACAAUGAAGAUAUACCUAAUAAAUUAGUUUAAUAUUAAAUAGGUGAAACAUCCACCAAUAUGAAGUACGAAUUUUAAAUGUUUGUAGAGAAUAAUGAUUAUGAAAUGACUCUCUCGUCAUUUUUGUAGACCUUAGUUAAUAAGUUUUAUGCUCAAAUAAUUCAAGCAUACCUAAUCAUGUGAGUUUUGGAUGCUCUAAUGAUAUGAGUACGUUGUCGUUUUCCUUUUUUAUGUAUAUGGAGUUGCCGUGAGUAAAAGUUGUUGAUUUUUUUUUACAAAAUUCAACUUAUUCUAAUAAAAAAUAUCAAGUGCAAAUAAUUAAAGUAUAUCUAGUAUGUCAUAUAUGACUAGACUAACACGGCAUAGUUACAAUAUUUUUUAACAUGUUUGGCCCAGCUUGUUUUUGACUUUGCUUUUCCUUAAGCAAAAGUUUUGUUUUGACCAAAAAAGAGAGUAAAACUUUGCUUAAUUAAACACCAUAUUUUAAAAGCUCAAACUAGUUUAAUUAGAUGCACAUUUCACACUUAAGGUCCUUGUUUAGCGGCA